rnacentral:rRNA from 1 species
AGGGAAUAGAUACCCGGUAGUCCUGGCAGUAAACGGUGCACGUUUGGUGUGGCGCAACUCGACCGGCGUCCGCGCCGGAAGCUAAACGCGUUAAACGUGCCGCCGUGGGAAGUACGGUCGCAAGAUUAAAACUCAAAGAAAUUGACGGGGACCCGCACAAGCGGUGGAGUAUGUGGCUUAAUUCGAUGCAACGCGAAGAACCUUACCUGGUCUUGACAUGCAUUGUGUCUCCGGUGAAAGCCGGAUAGGGCAGCAAUGCCCGCUUUGCACAGGUGCUGCAGGGCUGUCGUCAGCUCGUGUCGUGAGAUGUUGGGUUAAGUCCCGCAACGAGCGCAACCCCUGUGAUUUGUUGCCACCGGCUUAUGCCGAGCACUCGAAUCAGACUGCCUCGAUCAACGAGGAGGAAGGUGGGGAUGACGUCAAGUCCGUAUGGCCUUACGACCAGGGCUGCACACGUACUACAAUGCUCAGCACAAUGUGAACCGAUGCCGCGAGGUGGAGG